rnacentral:rRNA from 1 species
AACAAACGCUGGCGGCGUGCCUAAUACAUGCAAGUCGAACGGGGAAAGCUUUCGGGUGAGUACUAGUGGCGCACGGGUGAGGAACGCGUGGAUAAUCUGCCUUAGAGUGGGGGAUAACUAGUCGAAAGAUUAGCUAAUACCGCAUAAGACCACGAGAGCUGCGGCUUUUGAGGUCAAAGGUUUUUCGCUCUAAGAUGAGUCCGCGUAAGAUUAGCUAGUUGGUGAGGUAACGGCUCACCAAGGCGACGAUCUUUAACUGGUCUGAGAGGAUGAUCAGUCACACUGGAACUGAGACACGGUCCAGACUCCUACGGGAGGCAGCAGUAGGGAAUAUUGCACAAUGGAGGAAACUCUGAUGCAGCGACGCCGCGGGGGGAAUGAAGGCCUUGGGGUCGUAAAGCUCUGUCGCAGGGGAAUAAAAAAAUGAAGGUACCCUGUAAGAAAGGAUCGGCUAACUUCGU